rnacentral:rRNA from 1 species
CAUAAACCCGGGACAACCCUUGGAAACGAGGGCUAAUACCGGAUAAUCUUUAGGUCUGGCAUCAGAUCUUAAGAAAAGGUGGCCUCUGAAGAUGCUACCGAUUAUGGAUGGACCCGCGUCUGAUUAGCUAGUUGGUGGGGUAAAGGCCUACCAAGGCGACGAUCAGUAGCCGGCCUGAGAGGGUGAACGGCCACACUGGGACUGAGACACGGCCCAGACUCCUACGGGAGGCAGCAGUGGGGAAUCUUCCGCAAUGGACGAAAGUCUGACGGAGCAACGCCGCGUGUAUGAUGAAGGUCUUCGGAUUGUAAAGUACUGUCUUUGGGGAAGAAUGACGGAUUUGAAAAUAUUGAGUCCGUAUGACGGUACCCAAGGAGGAAGCCCCGGCUAACUACGUGCCAGCAGCCGCGGUAAUACGUA